GUUGUAUGUCAUCUAAGAGUCAUUUAAGAAUCACACACAGUUGGUAUGGGGGGAAUUAUUUCACUAUGAUAAAUUUACUGACACAUUUUUCCUCGAAUACAUGUGCAUGGCAAUUGUUAACUAUGUUUUGCUUUUCAGUAGGAGCAGGCGACUCCAAUGCGAGACGGUCCAGAUCGGCAACGACACCCAGUAGAAACGGCGUUGAGGGGGUUUUACGACAUUGUUGGAUAAGCCAGGAGGUGGCCUGGGGGUGAUUAGCAUCACCAAAGGCUAUGUGAAGGGAUGCUUUUACACCUACCUCAACAUGAGGGACUGGGGGAGAACGGAAUAUAACUAGAGUAUCUGCCGAUUUGGGAACAUUAUUGCAUGCAGUGAAAAACACAAUCAUAAGAUUCUAAACAACAGAGUUGUGUAGAUGACAUUGAUUUAAGGUGUUAAGAAGAACAUACAGUCUUUCUAUCAAUGAAACAACUCACAAAUUGAUUAGAAUGUUUUUAGGAAAACACUAGAUGUUAGAGUUUAGCUACUCAAGUGGCAUUUUAGGGAUAACAGCAGACGAUGGCCAACGCAGGAAGAUCCAACCUGAACUUUUCUUCCUGGAACGAAUGUCCGAUUGGGGAAUCUUGUCCUAAUGGGACCUCCGGUUAGCAGAGUAGUCUGCUCACAGGAACUGAGGUGAUUCGAGGUCCAAGGAGGGAGCGUGAAGCUUAAUCACACGUCUAGGAUGACAGCUACGUGUCAUCUGACCAAACCGCUGACAACAACAGAUGUUCCAACAGAGGAACAUCAAGGAGGAGAAAAGGUGUGAAUAUGACAUCUGGAUUGCCACCUACUGAGGGUGGUCAUGACUGUGCAGAAGUAGCUAGGAAGGAGACGAAGGUGACGAACGCAGAGACAGCCGCCAGCCAAGGGAAGCAGGUUCCAGUCAUACCGCCAGGAAGCCG
ensembl:lncRNA